UUUACAUUAUAUAUUACUAAAUUACUAACUGUGUGUCUACGGCCAUACCUAGGCGAAAACACCAGUUCCCGUCCGAUCACUGCAGUUAAGCGUCUGAGGGCCUCGUUAGUACUAUGGUUGGAGACAACAUGGGAAUCCGGGGUGCUGUAGGCUCCUUCUUUUUUAUUUACUAUUUGCUUGGCUUCUG